rnacentral:lncRNA from 1 species
GUUAGGCUGCAGCUGCUGGAUGUGUCUCCUGAUCCCUGAGACCCACUCCUCCCAUGCAUCCUCAGAGUCCCUCAAACCCCACAUCCAGAGCCAGACAGGAUGAAGCGACUAAGACACAGAGCACUGAAGCAAUCUGCCCCUCAGAAGUCCCCCAGAGGCGCGUGAACCCUGAGCUGCCCCCCAGACUCUGGGUUUCCCCUUCUUUUCCCCAAACAGCCCUAGCUCCCCCCAGGCACUCGCGUUGCUCAGACCUUUGUGAUGGACUCUGAGUGUUGUGUGUGCAUUUCUCUGUGUUUGUUCAUGUACAAGCGUGCUCGUGUGUGUGUGUGUAUAGAUGUACACAUGUACAUGGGUGUGUCUGGGUGUGUGAUUUGUUUGCAUAUUUGUGUGUGGGGCACGCGCAUGUAUCCUUGGCUGCAUUUGUGGGUGCGUGCAUAGGUGUGCUUGUGUGUGCAUUUGUAUGUGUGCACACAUGUGCGUGCAUGUGCAUGGGGGGAUUGCAUGCAGGCAUGUGUGUAUCCUUGUGUGUUUGUGUAUGUGCAUGUGUGUGUGUGCAUGUGGGAAUUUGCAUGCAUGCUUGUGUGUGUUUGUGUAUGUGCAUGUGUGUGUGUGCAUGUGGGAAUUUGCAUGCAUUCUUGUGUGUGUUUGUGAGUGUGUACACGUGCAUGGGCGUGUUUGAGUGUGUACAUUUGUGUGUGCACUUAUUUGUGUGCAUCUGUGUGGGGGCAUCUGCAUGGAUCCUUGUGUGCAUUUGUGUGUGUGCACACGUGUGCACGUGUGUGCAUUCAUUUGUGUAUGUGUGUGGGUGUGUGCAUGUGGGCAUGCGUGUGUAUCUUUGUGAGCAUGUACGUGUGUGUCCUUGUGUGCAUGUCUGUGCGUGUGCAUACAUGUGCGUGUGUGCAUUUAUGCGUGUAUACUUGUGUGUGCACUUGUAUGUAUGCACAUAUGUCUGGAGGACAUGGCCUUGCCCCAGGGUCUGGGGACCCUUCCCUGCCUGCCCUGCCCUGCCCUGCCCUGCCCUGAAGUCUGGGGAACUUGGCCCUGCUCCGGGGUCUGGGGAACCCUGCCCUGGGCCCCUGCCUGCCCUGGGCCCCUGCCUGCCCUGGCGGCUCACCUUGCUCUCGGGCCUGCUGAAUGGAAUCUGCAGCCGCUCCAUGGCCUCGAUCAUGGCCCGCAUGGACACGAAGAUGUUCUGGUAGACCAGGGGCCGGAAGCCCUUGCGCUCCUCCUCCGAGUAGCCGGCGCCGUGGAUGAUCCGCAUCUGCUUGAUGAAGAUGAGACACAGAGGACCAGAGAGGUUUAGUGACUUAAUUUGGGUCACACAGCAAGUGGAACCCCAGGGGAGUAAACUUGGGGUCGUGUGAGUCCUUCACCAACAAAAUGGGACACGGCCAGUCGAGCUGGGGAAAUAAAUGAUAAUCCUGUUGCCACCCGCGACACAGAUUUGAUGACUCAGGGAUGGGUCAUCACCCGAAGCCUGAAGAGCUGCAGACUGGGUCUCGCAAUGUUGUCCAGGCUGGUCUUGAA